rnacentral:sRNA from 1 species
ACAAAGGGCCGGAAGGAAGCCGGGGAGACAGGUGGGGUACUCGGGAAGCUGGAGCGGGCCGGCGGUGCAGUCGCGGGGGAGCGAGGCCUGCUGAGCUUGGCAACGAGGGACUCGGCCUCGGAGGCGACCCAGACCACACAGACACUGGGUCAAGGAGUAAGCAGAGGAUAAACAACUGGAAGGAGAGCAAGCACAAAAGUCAUCAUGGCUUCAGCGUCUGCUCGUGGAAACCAAGAUAAAGAUCCCCAUUUUCCACCACCAAGCAAGCAGAGCCUGUUGUUUUGUCCAAAAUCAAAACUGCACAUCCACAGAGCAGAGAUCUCAAAGAUUAUGCGAGAAUGUCAGGAAGAAAGUUUCUGGAAGAGAGCUCUGCCUUUUUCUCUUGUAAGCAUGCUUAUCACCCAGGGACUAGUCUACCAAGGUUAUUUGGCAGCUAAUUCUAGAUUUGGAUCAUUGCCCAAAGUUGCACGUAAGUCAUAGAAAUAAAAAAGCAAGCCAAGUGUGGUGGCUCACAUCUGUAAUCCCAGCGCUUUGGGAGGCUGAGGUGGGUAGAUUGCUUGAGUCCAGGAGUUCGAGACCAGCCUGGGCAACAUGGUGAAACCUUGUAUCUAUUUUUAAAAAAAGUAAUAAAUAAAUAAAAACUUUGAAAAAAAGACAUUACUAGCAACUGGAGAUACGAAUGUCCAGCCUAACUAAACUGCCUGUAUUGACUUUUGGAAAAAUCAGCCCCUAUUUUCUGCCACUCUGCAUUUCUCAGUUCACUCAACACUUUCUGAUAUACAGCUUAGCAGUUGGGACUUCUUCUUAGACCAUCCUUAAAGCAUGGACUAAGAGGGACUGGCAGGAUAUAUAAUGAGAUUAUCAAUAGCAGAGCCUCUGCAUGAUAGAUCAUUUAUGGAUUUUUAUUUUCUUUUGCCCUGGCCAGUCUUUUCAAAAUGUUUUCUACGAUGGAUAUAAAAAAUGAGUAAUUUUUAAGAAUCAGGGGAUUUCUAAUAAUAGAGUAACCACAAACUUGGGGUUUCAUCUUCCUUCACCUGGUAUCAAUAGAUCUUUUAUGUACAAAAAGGACACAUUUUAGUUGAUAGUCUGAAACCACAUUCAUUCCUAGCAGGAGGAACAGAUUCGAGAUCUCUUCCAUAGGAGGGUCCCUCUCCUUUGUGACCUCUCUCCUAUAGGCAAGAUGGACUGAAGCUCUCCACUACUCCAAGGCCAUAAGGAAGAUUAGGGGCAUUUCUACCCAGUGAUUUGGAAGCUACCUAUAGCCACAACCCAGCCACCUUCCCCUGCCCCCGUGGCCUCAACCGUUUGCUUGACAGGUGGGCCCUCUCUGGCCAUCUGUCUCCAGGACAGCACUGUGGCUUGCUCUGUCCUGGCCCUUCCACCACCAGUGCAAAGUUGAGAUGGGGAAGUCUCCAGCUCCCAAUCCUGUUCUUUUUAAAUAGAGACUUCAUUCUCGGAGUCUUCAUUCAUUGAUUUAGCAUGGUCCUUUUAAUUUUAAAAUUACCAGCGUUGAUUUUUAAAGCUCUAGAAAAUAACUAAUGGAGAAGAUUCUCAACUAAUCUCUCCCAACCUGCUUUUACAGUUGCUGGUCUCUUGGGAUUUGGCCUUGGAAAGGUAUCAUACAUAGGAGUAUGCCAGAGUAAAUUCCAUUUUUUUGAAGAUCAGCUCCGUGGGGCUGGUUUUGGUCCACAGCAUAACAGGCACUGCCUCCUUACCUGUGAGGAAUGCAAAAUAAAGCAUGGAUUAAGUGAGAAGGGAGACUCUCAGGCUUCAGCUUCCUAAAUUCUGUGUCUGUGACUUUCGAAGUUUUUUAAACCUCUGAAUUUGUACACAUUUAAAAUUUCAAGUGUACUUUAAAAUAAAAUACUUCUAAUGGAACAAAAA